CGUCAUAAUGGCGGCGACCAUGUUCCACCGAGGUGCGGCCGAUUCAGUUUAACGACACUGGUCUAAGUCGCGUUUUCCUCUCGCAUCUUUUGUUUCCUUGGAUUGUGUUACUUCAAAGGUUAUUUGAAAAAGUUGGUAAAGGGAUCCGCUUAACAGCUCUCCCUCUUGUCACCUGUUGGAAUUUACCCUAACAGGGCCUCACAGGUGGAUUAACCAGUUUGUGUAACUGUGCAAUCAUCAUUUUUAAAGCCAGCAUUUAGGCCACCACACAGUUCAGCGUGUUUGUCAGCUUCCACGGAUGCAACAUUUACAUUUGACGAACUCAAGAGAGCCAAGAAGUAAGAAUUUUUUAGACCCCACUUACUGCCGGUCAAGGGAAUAAAGAGCUCUUUUUCCAAAAGCUGGGAUCAAUUGCUGGGUUUAUGUCCACAAACUAAUUGUCUACUGACAAACUACUUGUCUAUGACAAAUAGCCAUGAGAAGAGCCAUCAGAACUCUGUGGGCUCUACCACCAGUUGGUGAAAGACUCUACUUCUGUCGAGUUCAAGGGCGCAUGACAAAAAAGCGUUUCCAGACCCCUAAUUAGGAAACGCCCAUUUACAAGCCAUGCCAGAGGCCGCGAUUGACGUUCCAUGUAAACAGAUUGGGAAAAAGUGUUUUCUUCCGCACCAGGAUUGACAGGCGUGCCGAUCCGUUAUUUGAGUCCUUUAGAGUCUCCAACUUCUAAGCGCAGAUGGAUCGUGACUUCUUUACGAUAGCACUUCGGAUAAUUUGAGCUAUCUAUACCUCCAGACCAGGAACCCAUUAAGUAAUGAACUCCUGUCUAGACUGACUACAACUUUUUUUCGGACCUCAAGGAUGUUCGAGAUGAUGAUGACGUCAAUGUCGCCCAGCAAAGAACAAAGAAACAGGAUAGGCCCCAGCGUGACCCCACCUCUGACGCAACGAAGGCUCGAGUCUUGAGGACUGGGUCUACCAGCGGGAGGGGGAGAGGGAUAUGAAGAAAUAGUACGGUUUAUUGAGGUUUCGCCCCCCCCCCUCCCCACUACUUGUCAACCUAUAAUGUUCUCAGCUGAGAGAUUGUCCUAAAUAUGAAUAUUUGGCAAGAAGCAAAACUUUGAUGGUAAGUGUGAAAUUUGAAGGACUAUCUUUCAGCCAAAUACAUUAUCCAACACAUCAGCAAGUCAGAAGGGGGUUUAUUUACUUAAUUACCCUAACGUUAAUUUCCAUAUCACGCACAAACCACUCGUAAAAAAAGCCAGCGUUGAUCUAAUGGCGAAUGCGCGCGAUUGCCGAGAACUGUUGGUUUAAUUUGUAGUAGGUAAACGCAGUGUAUAAAUUCUCUAUUUUGUAACUGAACUCAAUUAAAUUUGUAUAGGACUAUGAUCUUUUAAGAUCAUAGUCCUUUACAAAAUAGUCAAUCAAAAUCUGCCGUAAACGUCUGGGAAGUAGAAGAAAGUUACUACUAGACUUUUUGAUUGACUAUUUUGUACUUUUCGAAACAGCGUUUGCGACCAGAAAUUCAAUGUCACUACUACUGGACUUUACUCGUGAGCUUGCUUUUUUUUCCGCUGGCUUUGUUUCUUUUCGACGGAAAUAAUCGGGGGCGAAUAUCGACCCAGACGAGGGUUGAGGUGUGAGAACCGUCCUGUGAUUUUAUACCACGUGACGCAAAGUGCAAAAAAAAAAAAAAAUUAAUGGAAAGUGGGUUAUAACAAAGGAUUCUCUUCGCUCUUAUCUGAGGUACAUUGGGUCCCAUUACGCGUACUGCCCAAGCAAAAAUAUUUAAGAAACUGUAAAUGAGGUUAACUUCCAACAAACUGGGUUAGCUGUACUAAGAAAAAUUUCUUUGGCUGCUGGCUUGAACACCUGCAAGACUUUCAUAAACAUUAAAAUAAACUUACUAAUCAACAGACUCUAACAGGUAAUCAACCAUAUUUAUUAAAUUUAUUUUGGUAUAUUUAUAAAUCAUCUCUUUUGUAACACCCUACUAAAUUUAAAUUUUGUAUGCUCACCAAGAAAAAAUUACCUCUCUUUGUCCUAUAUAAAACAUCUAUAAACAAAAUACUAAAUGGCUGUCCAGUCUAAUGUGACAUUGGCACUUAAACUUUGCUAUGCUACCAAAUGGUGCCACAGUCAAGAAAUAUAUCAAUAUCUUUCUACAGUUUUCUCAGACUUGCCAUAACAUCUCAAUUCCUAACUUAUCAAGAUUGAAAUUAGCCACAAA